GUAAAUAUAAAGGUUCAAGUGAUGUAUUGAAAAUAAUUUUCUAACUGCUUUGUAUGUAUCACAUACUCUAAAUUGCACAGUAGGCGUGUUUAUUAAACAGAUUGGCUGGGAAAGUUUUGAAAUAGUACUGAAUUUACAGUCUCAGUGCUAUUCCUGUUGCUGUGUAUGUGGUAGGUUAUACCGAAGUAACUAAUCUUCUAAUGAAUGCUGAUAUUUUAUUAGAAUGAAAGCACAGAUUAGCAUUAAUAUUUUUUAUCCUGGAAAUCCUUUGGCAAGUACUGGGCAGCCCAAAUUUAGAAAACUAUGAGAUUUCAAACCACGUAAACAUGGUUCUGUUGGACAUUUUAUUUUUUAACUGUUAACUUAGGUGUUCGCAGUUCUGUUGAAUGGGACUUCUGCAGGACUGUAUUUAGCAUGCUGUAAGUACUUUGGGGUGAAAUAGGCUCCGAGUCUAAAUUCUCAGAAAUGUCUGUGAUGUAUUGACCAUGAAUAGCGUGUACCACAUGACAGAAGUGAAAUUACACUCUUAACCCCUUCUCAACGUGGACUGGUCUUUACAGGGGCACCAAUAAAUGACAGAUCUGGAGAGUCUCCUGGUGCUUAUUUUAGAAGUCAAAUCAACCCAAUUAGUAUCUUGUUAGUAGAUAUAAUGAGCCUAUUUCUUUCUAAAAAGGCUUGUGGUCUGGACGUGCUUUUACAAGAAAUAGUGACCUUGGGGAAUAUGUAAACAAGAGAUCUUUUUCUAAGAGUUUGGGGGGAGGUUGGGGGACCUGUAUAAUGACAAAAAAAAAUUAGCUUACAACAAUGACAACAACAAAAAACAAAAACAAAAGAAAUUGAUAUUCAAAGUAUUUUAGGCAAAGCCAGUCAAAAUGCUUUCAUGAUAUUUUGAGAUGUAAAUUUUUGUCUGAUUUGUAUUGUUCUUUUCGUUUGCCUUCUUAACUUUAUAUGUGACCUGAAUUUUCCAUAACUUGAUGACUAUAGAUUGCAUCUAGGCAUUCCAAUAAAAGCCAACCCAAUGU
rnacentral:lncRNA from 1 species